rnacentral:lncRNA from 1 species
GAUGAUGUGCUCUAGAUUCUCAUUCGCUAAGGGAUGGAUAUGAGCUCUUCGAUCGGUGUCCCAUGCUCUUCAGCUAACUCAUCAUGGGUUUCCAGUCCUUCUAUGGGGUAGAAUUCGAUUGGUUUGCCUCCUCGAAAGGUGAUGUUGUAGCAAUAGUGCACCAAGUCUUGGUCUCCAUGAACUUCUCUGAUACCCUUUGUC